UGAGCAACCUGCCCUUGACUCUGGAAUAACAGCUGGAAACAGCUGCUAAUACCGGAUAUGACCUCUUCCGACAUCGGGCGAGGUGGAAAGCUCCGGCGGUCAAGGAUGGGCUCGCGGCCUAUCAGCUAGUUGGUGAGGUAACGGCUCACCAAGGCUUCGACGGGUAGCCGGCCUGAGAGGGCGACCGGCCACACUGGGACUGAGAUACGGCCCAGACUCCGUACGGGAGCAG
rnacentral:rRNA from 1 species